CAAUAGCGUAUACUAAAGUUGUUGCAGUUAAAAAGCUCGUAGUUGAAUUUCUGGUCGUGACAAUCGGUCAGCCCCUCACGGGGUUCGUACCAGGUUGUCGCGUCCAUCCUCGGGGAGAGCAUAUCGGGCAUUAAGUUGUCUGGUGUGGGAUCCUCGUCAUUUACUGUGAGCAAAAUAGAGUGUUCAAAGCAGGCUUAGGCCGUUGAAUACAUUAGCAUGGAAUAAUAAGAUAGGACCUUGGUCUAUUUUGUUGGUUUGCGUUCCAAGGUAAUGAUUAAUAGGGAUAGUUGGGGGUAUUCGUAUUCAAUUGUCAGAGGUGAAAUUCUUGGAUUUAUGGAAGACGAACUACUGCGAAAGCAUUUACCAAGGAUGUUUUCAUUAAUCAAGAACGAAAGUUAGGGGAUCGAAGAUGAUUAGAUACCGU
rnacentral:rRNA from 1 species